GCUUCGAUGGCGCAGUGGUAGCGCAGUGGUCUCAUAUUUCAUGAGGAGUCUGAUUUCAAACAUCCAAAAUGUAAAAUGCCAUCCAAAGGUCGUGAGUUCGACCCUCACUCGGAGCA
rnacentral:tRNA from 1 species